CCGGAACUUUUUCCUCCCUCCUGUCCCUCCCCCUUCCCAAGCCGUGUACCACCUUCCGGCCCCCGGGAACCCCGGCAAGGGUUGUGGCUGCUGCCCCGCUUCAGCCGGAGUGUUGCUGAGCGCGGAGCCCGAGGGCGCCCGUGAGAGCCCCUGUUGAGUUCCCUGCUGCGUAGGAUGCCAGAACUGGAGACUAUGGAGAUCAUGAAGUUGGUGAAUUGCCCCGAGACCUUCACGCCGGACAUGAGGUGCAUCAUGGGCGAGUCCCCUUCAGUGCGGGGCUACUUCGUCCUGGCGGGAAUGAACUCUGCUGGCCUUUCGUUUGGUGGAGGAGCUGGAAGAGUUGACCAGAGAGUAAAGUGUUAGCUGUGCUGCUGGAAGACCCUUCACUGAAAUGAGCUGCCGAAGCUUUCAACCCUACACCCAUCUGUUGAAGGUGCAAAAUGAUUCUUCAAUUGCAUAUGCUGAGAAGAUUGUGGAGCCCCUCUCCCAAGACAGCACAAGUGGUGAUAACAUCAUUUCAGAGAGAAGAAAAAAGUACCAACCACCUAAAACGAGUCCAGCUACUCCUUGAACAAUCCCUGCAACCUCCAGGGAGAGGUGAGUUGUCACAGAAAGCAAACACAUGCGGUCCCAGUGCCCAUCGGGGAUGACACAGAAAUAAAGAUGUUUUGAUUGUCAACUAUGCUUGAGGCAGGAAAGAGUCACCCCCUUCCCUUUAGGACCAAAUAGAGAAACCUACCAGAUUCAUAUUGCCUAUAUUUGAAUGAACCAAAGGAGACUUGAAAGAUGAAUUGUAAAGUGCUGGAAGAUAAAUAUGUAAGUUUCAGGGUACUCAAUAAACAAGUGAUUUCCCCCCAGAAUCUUAACAUCUUGUCAGUCUUAGAAGUGUGACCCCUAUUUAUGGACAAGAUGUGAUUUAUGCAUAAAUCUAGAUUUUCUUUUGGAUUCAAUCCCAAAUAACUUUCCAUUUAUAAAGACGACUUUGCAGUGGUGUGCAUGGGAUACCUUUAGUUCUACAUCUGUUUCCAUCUUCUUGGGUCAGUCGGCUCCCUGCUGGUAACACCUGCAUUGUCCGGUGCCAGUUUCCUGCUCUCCCAAGUUUCACGGCUGCUGUUCACUGCUCUCCAGCUGGGCAGCACCUCUCCUCUUUGCCUAGAAGCAGUAUCUCUCAGCUAGUUAAAUUCACAUUUGCACCAAAAUACCAAGGCCCCCCGACAGAAUUCUAAUCACAUACUCCCUCGUUAAAUCAAUGAAGACCUCGUAAGAAGGUGGACAGUAAAGUCAGUGAUCAAGUGGGUAAACAGAAAUCCCAGAGAAAUGCCAGAGCAGGCAGACACCUGAGAAUUGUAAGCUGCUCUAAUAAAAUGAAAGGAUUGUCUCUAAUAUACUUACAGACCUAUCAGACCUAAUGCAUGCAAGAUACCAAGAUAACAAAGGCUAUGGUUAAUUAAAAUCUCUAGCAGCCAUUUGUUUGCAAGGGGAAAUUAAGUGUGGGGAUGGAUACCACAGUCUGUGCGAUCCAAGUUCCACCCUUAGAAAAUAGAGACACUGCUUAAAAGUGUGCAGGGCGCUCUUACCCCAAGUUACCUUCUAUUCCAGAAAAUGUGGAGAGAUGUCUGGAAAAAGAAGACGGAAAGCAGACCUUGGGCUCAGGUAACAUACGCUCUCCACACUGGGAACUCUCAAGGGACCCAAGUGGGUCAUCUCUGUGUGGAUCUGUGUCUUUUGUGCGGGGGAAGCAACCCUGGGGUCCCAGUAGCUCUCUUCAACUCAGUGUGGCCACAAGGUUUAGUUACUCAGCCAGGAUGCUUGUCCUGCCUCCCCCGCCCUAAGGGAGAGAGCGUGCACUGAGCCAGUGGGCCUCCUGUGGAAGGGACACAUGAGGCUGAACUGAAAGUCACAUGUGCUCGGAGAAGAGGAACAUCAAGGUGGGGUGACUGAACUGUGAGUAGCUGAAAGAAAAGCAGCACUGUUUCAUAGAAAACUCAGCAUCGCUGGAGCUUAGUUUGAGGUUAGACCCUUUCAGCUAGGAAAAGCAACACUAAAGGCAACAUGGUCUUUCCCUUUCAAACACUGUGGCUUAUUUGUUUAGUCGGUUAAAUAAACCACAACCCCUCUCAUAAUAGAGAUUAGCAAGAGAUGAAGAAAAUUAUAGGCAGGUGGCCCUAGCCCAACAGUCUGAUAACUGGGUCACAGUCUGAUAACUGGGUCAGUAGGGAGGCCCAGGAUGAACUAAUCUGUGCUAAACCCCAGGUAACGCCCACAUGAUGCCUCUCGAGGUAGAUGGUCAUCCUCCUGCUAGAGGUAUCAGGGUGCCGACCCACAGCACAAAGGGAUGGGAGAAGGACCUGCCUGGCUAAAAGGCAUAAGCUAUUCCACACGGCUGUAUCACACAGACAGCAGCUAGCCAGAAUUCACAGGUUACUCGAGAAAAUUUAGCCCCACAGAGAGGGACUCUUACCCUGAGGCCUGCACACCACAAGCCUCCCUUGCUUCAAGACCCAGCAUUAAGUGAGGCUGUCACUGUAACCCACUUCCACAAGUGGAGUCUGCCUCUGUCCUGCCUUCCUGUCCCCACAGGAACCUGAGAUGGGGGGAGGGAUGACCAGCCCAGAGUGAGUAUCAGGAGAUGGGAAACUGCAGAAGGAGGGAGGAGAAGAUGGAGGGACAAGAGAGGGUGCAAAGGAAAAGUUUUAAACGCUUAAAAUUAUAUCAAGGGAAAAAAAAAUUAUAUCAAGGAGAUAAGAGGUGGGAGGCAAAGGUUAAAUCAAGAAGAGGGAUGGGAUCAGGAAGAGGAGCUCCUAAGAUGACUAGAAGGUGGGAAGGUGGCAGGACUGCCUGGCAUUACUUCCCGUGCAAGUCACUGAGCUCCACGUCAUCCUUUCGGCGCUUAUGGGUGAAGAGGGAGGUGACCGGGUAGAGCUUGGCCUUGGCCUGGAACCGGUGUCCUGCGAUGUCAAUCUCAUAUUCUCCCCGGUUGAUGAAAUCUGCUGUCACCACCUGCUCUUCUCCGGUGUCCUCGGAAAAAUUGUGCACGAAGCCCAGGCACACGUGGCGCUCCAGGGUGUAACCAUAUGCGCUGCUGGUGGUCUUGCCCACGUACUGCCCGUUUCGGUAAAUGGGCUCCCCCCACCAAGGCCAGAGGUCCAGGUCUGUGUCGUGGUCGUCCAGGAUGAACAUAGUGAAGCGUUUGUACACCCCGUUCUGCUUCUGCUGCAGCAGGGCAUCUCGCCCAAUGAAAUCCAUCCCCUAGGAAAGAGCACAGAGACAGCAUCACUGCUUGGGACCCGGUGUCACUGCAGUGGGCUGCCCACUCCCCACCACACCCCUGCAAGCUCUGGAGAACGUGUGCUUCCCCCAUGCGGAAAACUGCAUUCACAGUAUGAAAGACACCUGCAGAGAAUUCUUGUAACCACACAGGCAAGCAUCACUCUCUUUUCUAUUUUAUAAACACAUUUCAAUCACAAGACCACACAGAACAAAAAUAGGAAGAAAAAUCAACACUUGAAAAUGCUUGCUAGAAUUAUUGUAAAAAAACAAUGUUUUUAUAUAAUCUCAACCAGCAGUCCAUGCAUAUAUAUCCGUAUUCUAUGCAUAAAUAUUUACAUAUAUGCAUAUGUCCAAAAAAGAGCAGGAUAAAAUAAACUCUUAAUGCGUGUCGCUGAAAAAAUAUUCUUUAUGUUUUUCCCUAUUUUCCAAAUCGAGUAUUCUUUACUUUUAUAUCAGAGAAAAAUACUUACCUAAUUGCUCAAAAAGAACAUCAGAGAUCUACUAUACUGAUAGGGAAUGACUGUUAAGAUAUUUUAAGUGAAAAAGGCAAGGUGCAAUAUACCAAGUAUACAGUAUCCAACCACCAAGGUUAAGAACGUGGUGAGGGGAAAUUACUCAUCUGUUUGCACUGCAUGGAAGCUCUCUACAAGGAGAGGCAGGACACUGCUGCUUCUGGUCAAGCUGGCAGUGGGACUGGGUGGGCUCAGAGGUGGGAAAGAGCCUUUUCGUCCUCUUGAAUGGUGAUUACGAAUAAAUUAGGCAGUUGAAUGUCAAGUGACUCAUUUGUACAUGUGGCAUAUUAAUGAAUUACCACAAUCAACUCAGAAAAACUGCCCAGAAAGCACUCAGUCUAAAAGAGAACAAAGUGCCCCAAACAAGUGUUGUCUAUUUAUGAUGUUUCCAUAUUAAGUGUUUUAUCCCAUAGAUACAUUUGGAGGUCUCAACACCUAUACACUUUUGCUCCCACCUCAGCUCUUCCUGUUCUCAUGCAGGCUCCCUGCUCAGGAAGCUGAGGGCAGAGUGGAGUGUGCACAGGUACAAUACCUUGUCUAACUUCACCCGAGACUCUCGUCCGCAUUCCAGGGGUGUGGUGAGGGUGUUUAAAUCCUGACCCCAGAAGGCAAAAAACUUUUCAAUUCGGAGACUACGAAGAGCAUAAUACCCAGCAUUCCGGAUUCCAUAUUUCUGUCCAACACUCAUCACUUCGUUGUAUACGUGCAGGGCAUACUAGAGGGAGAGACAAAAGGUCAGUAACCAGCAGACCUUCAGAAUUAAACACGGAAUCUGUCUGGCAGUGCCUGACGGCUGACACUGUUACCUGGACAAGGGAGAAGGUUGUCUACAAUCCUCAGGAACCAAAGUGCUGCAGCCCAGGCUUAAGCUCCACGAAAGCAGCACCUUUAUCUUUUUACUUCUCUAAAAUGUCUAGGAUCUCAGUAUAUAGCACUUAUUAAAUAAUAACUCACAGAAGCUCUUACCACUCAGUAAACGACCAGUCUCGUAACUGCCUCUCCAACAGCCAUGCAUCCUCCACUGGCUUUGGCUUUGUUUUUUUGCGCCAGUUCCCUGAACUUGGUCCUUCCCUUAUGCAAUGGCCUAUGCUGUGAAACUGGUGUUACACGUAACUCUAGACAUGCACGCACAACUCUGAUUUGUCACACUGAUUAUGGCGUAUCUUAAGAGACCUAGAGUGAGUCACAGAGGACCCCAAAAAUCAGAGCUCUCCUACCCGUGUCCCACAAUAUCCAGUCUCUCAUGUUGUUUUGUUCUUGGUUCCAGACACGUUUAAGUAUCACAUAACUUAAAUGAACAAAAGUUUUCCAAAUUGAAAGCAAAUACUCAAAUACUCUGUUAAGUCUAAAGCCCAACAACAAACUACACUGUUUACUUUAAAAACUGUAAAAGUAAAACAGAAAACAAGACAGAGGAAUGAGGAAGACAGAUACUGUAUAACCUCACUUAUAUGUGGAAUCUUAAAAACAACUAUUAAACAACAAUAAAACCAAAAUAGCAACUAAACUCACAGACCAAGAGAUCAAUUUGUGGUUACAGUUGGGGAUUGGAGGAAGGUGGUCAAAAGGUACAAACUUCCAGUUAUAAGGUAAGUACUAGGGAUAUAAUACACAACAUGAUGACUAGGUGACACUGCUGUGUGAUAACAUGAAAAUUAAGAGUAAAUCCUGAGAGUUCUCAUCACAAGGAAAAAAAAAUUUUUUUCUUUUUAUUGUGUCUAUAUGAGAUGAUGGAUGCUAGUAACUUAACACUGUGGUAAUCAUUUCACAGUCUAUGUAAGUCAAUCCAUUAUCCUGUCCACCUUAAUCUUAUCUUAUACAAUGAUGUAUGUAAAUUAUAUCUCAAUAAAACGG